AUUGAACGCUGGCGGCAGGCCUAACACAUGCCAGUCGAGCGAGCGUCGGACGGGUGAGUAUUGUAUGGGGACUGCCCGAUAGAGGGGGAUAACUACUGGAAACGGUAGCUAAUACCGCAUACUAUCGGAUAACCCAUAUGGGAUUAUCUAGUAGGUGAGGUAAUGGCUCACCUAGGCGACGAUCCCUAGCUGGUCUGAGAGGAUGAUCAGCCACACGUGGACUGAGACACGGCCCAGACUCCUACGGAGGCAGCAGUGGGGAAUAUGGCACAAUGGGCGCAAGCCUGAUGCAGCCAUGCCGCGUGUAUGAAGAAGGCCCUAGGGUUGUAAAGUACUUUCAGUCGGGAGGCGUUACCGACAGAAGAAGCACCGGCUAACUCCGUGCCAGCAGCCGCGGUAAUUC
rnacentral:rRNA from 1 species